rnacentral:rRNA from 1 species
CACGUAGGGGGCGAGCGUUGUCCGGAUUUAUUGGGCGUAAAGAGCUCGUAGGCGGCUCAGUAAGUCAGGUGUGAAAACUCCAGGCUCAACCUGGAGACGCCACCUGAUACUGCUGUGGCUAGAGUCCGGUAGGGGAGCAUGGAAUUCCUGGUGUAGCGGUGGAAUGCGCAGAUAUCAGGAGGAACACCGGUGGCGAAGGCGGGUCUCUGGGCAGUAACUGACGCUGAGGAGCGAAAGCGUGGGGAGCGAACAGG